GAUGAACGCUGGCGGCGUGCCUAAUACAUGCAAGUCGAGCGAACAGACGAGGAGCUUGCUCCUCUGACGUUAGCGGCGGACGGGUGAGUAACACGUGGAUAACCUACCUAUAAGACUGGGAUAACUUCGGGAAACCGGAGCUAAUACCGGAUAAUAUAUUGAACCGCAUGGUUCAAUAGUGAAAGACGGUUUUGCUGUCACUUAUAGAUGGAUCCGCGCCGCAUUAGCUAGUUGGUAAGGUAACGGCUUACCAAGGCAACGAUGCGUAGCCGACCUGAGAGGGUGGUCGGCCACACUAGAGCUGAGACACGGUCCAGACUCCUACGGGAGGCAGCAGUAGGGAAUCUUCCGCAAUGGGCGAGAGCCUGACGGAGCAACGCCGCGUGAGUGAUGAAGGUCUUCGGAUCGUAAAACUCUGUUAUUAGGGAAGAACAAAUGUGUAAGUAACUAUGCACGUCGUGACGGUACCUAGUCAGAAAGCCACGGCUAACUACGUG
rnacentral:rRNA from 1 species